UCAGUGAAGAGCUGAUCGAACGCUCAAUUGACACAAGGCCCCUUUCCUUCUUCUAAUCUCUCUUUGUUUUUUCUCCCUCCUCUCUCUCUCUCUCUCUCUCUCCCCUUCAGAGUUCAAAUCUGAAGUCGGCGAGACACGCGAAUGGCUUCGGACUAUCUUGUCUCAGCCCAGUUUGAUUGAAAUUUGUGGGGCGUUUUCUCCAACUCAAGGAUGGAAUAUUCCAAAUCAUGAAUGGGGUGGUGACUCCGAUGAUGAUUGGGACUUCCAAUCUGAACAAGACCGAUGGUUCUGAUACUUGUUCAGUCUCAGGGGAUGUGGGACGGCUGGACCUCUGAAGUUGAUGAAUUUUUUGAAGUUCCCAGCGAUUCGAUAACUUGGUAAGUGGCCCUUUGGAUCUGUCAGGAAAAUAUUAUGGUGCACCUGCUUUCUACUACGAUGUCAUGGAACGCAAAACAGCUGGCUUAGCGACCUUGUCAAAUCAAAUGGAGUAUUUCCUGACAGUUUGAAGAACAAAUCCAUCUGCGGAUCAGAACUUUGCUUGCAUGAACAACUCAAAAAACCUAUCGAACAAUGGGCCAGCAGAUGGUGAAGCUAUGGAGGUCGAAACCUCUAAUUGAAUGAAUAUUGCAGAAUUCUAUCAAGGGUUCAUUCUUUUUCUUAGCGUAAUUUGGGCUCUGCAAGGAACAACAAAAGUUCGUGUACUUCAGUAUAUUAUUCUGUUUAUUUGUGUCAAGAACAGCUUGUUUUUGGUUUAUGGCAUCGGUUCAAUGAGUUUACUCAUUUGAUUCUCAAGUUAACUAUCUGUUUUUGAUUUUGGCUUGAGGAUACAAAAUCUGGUCAGGAACGAGCACACUGAAAGUUAUAAUUAGAGAAUUGCUUUAUUAGGUAAUAAAGAGUUAAAAUUCAAUGUCACUAACAUAAUCUCUCUUGCUCUAACAGUGUUUGGAGACUCUGAGGACUGUCAAAAUGAUACCUGAACUUUCAAACGUAUCAAUGUGAUACCUGGAUUUAUAUUUUCUUGUCAACGUAGUACCUACAUCAAUUUUCCGUUACGGCUCCGUCAGUUCGAGUCACGUGUGACGCAUGUGAGGCCGAAAAUGAGGGCAAAAAAGACUUUUCCACUCCAUCAAAUCCUAAAGGGAAAAAUGCACGAACAGUGUCUGGAGGCUCUGAGGACUGUCAAAAUGAUACCUGAAUUUUCAAACGUAUCAAUGUGAUACCUAGACUUAUAUUUUCUUGUCAACGUAGUACCUACAUCAACUUUCCGUCACGGCUCCGUCAGUUCGAGUCACG